GCUACAGAGAAUAAUUGGAAAUAAAUAAAUGCUUCCCAUACCGUAUAUCUGUGUCGCUACAGGUAAAAUUGGUGUGCACGAGCCCAAGCGACUAGUAAAGACGAUGGAUUUCGACGUAGAGAAAAACGACUAAAGCGUGCCCGAGUUCUACGAGCGCUUUGAUUAUUCGCAUCCAGACGGUAUCCAAGCAACGUCGCGUGGUCGCCAGGGCCGACAUGGGAGAUCACUCUUAACUGAUCAGCAUCCCGCUUACAGUCUGUGUCGUAAAAAACACAAAUCAAAAGAGGUAAAGAAACCCGCGCCUGUGUGCGCUAAGAAACCAAACCUUUCUCCGGCAGUACAGUCACCUCUUGCCGUGGCGGUGAAUGUAAGCGACGAAAAGAACCCGGACCUUCCGGCUCGCAGACCUCACCGACCAACACAUCCCUAUGCAAACAAGGGUCGGCACCGUAUGUCAACACAUCCGUUGGCCGCGCAACAGUACGUCCCGAAAAAUAGUAUGAAGCCGGCAUUGAUGACGAACUUGUGGGAACGGCAGAUGCAGUUUACUCUGAGGCUUAUGGUGACGUCAUACCCGUCUCGAAGGAAAGUGAAAACAAAAGUCAUAUUUCGGAUGGGAAUUAUGUGAAACUCGGUAUGUCAGCGGUGACGCAUUCUUCUUACCUGAUGACGCAGAUAUUAAAUACAGAUCAAGACACUAAGUCAACCAACAUGGAAAGAAUUAAAACGUUGACAAUAAAUGAAAUAGGUGAUAUUUUGAGGCUUUUGAAACUCGACGAAUAUGUAGAAACAUUUAAAGAUAACCAAGUUGACGGUGCCAUUUUGAUGAGUCUCGACAGUGAUGAUUUAGUCAACGAGUUGGGGAUGAAGAAACUGCAGGCGACAAGACUUUUUAUGUACAUGUCUGAGGGCCACAUCCCAAAGUGAUUUCAUUCGAUUUCGUGUAUGAAUCACCUUACGUGGAAUGCUAAUGUUUGCACUUUAUUAAAUACCGAGUGCAUAAUGCAAAUCGCCCGGCAUACGGUAAAUUAUCACAUUUAAAGUGUUAAUUAAUUAGAACACCAUAUACAUAAAAUUAUAGCAUCAUGUAGUUACCAAAACUUUCACAAAUAUAAAUAUGGUCUAUAUUGCGUAAAAUAUGCAAAGCACGAGUAAUCUUUGUGUUAAUUAUUGUAUUUUGCCCAGCAUCAUGUCAACUAAAAGAGAGUUAAAUGUUCACACUGUUGUUUGCAUCCGCAGUGACAUCAGCUAUAUUUUUUUGAUGAACCUAUCAACUUUUCGAAAACAAACAGCGAUUUCACUGAUAAGUUGUUUGCGCUGUAAACAAACAUAACGACGGCUUCCGUUUGUGGUUCAUGCAGUGCCUGUAAUAUGUCGCCCGUGCUAUUUGAUUCGCUCCUUUUCCUAAAUAAAAAAAAUGUCAAUAUCUUAAACAACAAAGUCAACACGUUGUAUUGUAUUUUAACACAGACCUUUAUCGUCACUGCCCGAUGCAAAGUUGGUUCUGAUUGUGAAAUGAUUAUAAUCGGGAUCGCCACAAUUCCGUAGAAAUCGAAUAUGUAGAUAAAAGCAACGCUGACUCCUUGAACUACUUAUAUAUUAUAGUUCUAAAGAAGUGUGGUUGAUCUGGUAUGUAAUUGUAAAAGGAUCAGCUUCAUUUGUUUUUCAAUAUUAGGUGCUUGCGAAACUAUAGAACAAUAAGGAAUACGCUUUUUGCAUUCGAUUUUCAAAAUACCAUAUCUAUCAUUUACAUUAAAAUUAUUUGACAAUACAAGCAAUCAAAACGAUUCGACGCCAUGGAAAUGACACGUUUUACAUCAAAAUAUAUCAAAUCAUUUAACAAAGUUACGUAUUUAAAUAUAAAGUAUAAAUCCAGUUAAGUAAAGUGAAGUUUUCGUUUAUCUAUGUCAAGCGCACGUACACAUAUGUACUAUUGUUAUACUGUACACUUAAUAUUUGGUCCAAAGUGAGUGCAUUUAUUUAAUUGUAACACUGUGAUGACAACGACCAAAUCAGUGUGUAAUAUUUUGUAUCAAAAUACACUGUUAUUAAAACACUUACACAUUACUUGGCUUAUUUUCUGUAAGAUAUUUACAUUAUAAUUACACAUCAUUUUUGCAUCUCACAUAUUUGAGAACAAGAUUUUCAGUAUUUAUGAUUUUUAUCCCAAUCGGAACUAGUUUUUGUACGAAUGUCACCAUCGAUCUUGGUUAUAGGUUUUUAAUUGUGAAUACUAAAUUGUCUCUCAUUUUUAAGCUUGUAUUUGAAUGUGUUUUUAAAGAGUAGCAUUACACUUCAUUUACUUCAUUACUUAACUAUGUGCUCGCUGGUCCUUGCAACCAUUAAUGCCCCACAACUUUCGCAAUACAUCUGCGUUAACAUUUGACAU